rnacentral:rRNA from 1 species
UACGUAGGGGGCAAGCGUUGUCCGGAUUCAUUGGGCGUAAAGAGCUCGUAGGCGGCUUGGCAAGUCGGGUGUGAAAACUCCAGGCUCAACCUGGAGACGCCACCCGAUACUGCCAUGGCUAGAGUCCGGUAGGGGACCACGGAAUUCCUGGUGUAGCGGUGAAAUGCGCAGAUAUCCGGAGGAACACCGGUGGCGAAGGCGGGUCUCUGGGCCGAUACUGACGCUGAGGAGCGAAAGCGUGGGGAGCGAACAGG